GGCACCAGCAAGGGACGCCGGGAGACCCCACCCCACCCAAGCUGCAGGACGCCUGUCCCUGAGGGCUCCCUUGCUUGCCCAGCACGGGGCGUGCUGCAUUCUCUGGGGACUUGCGGUGCCAGGCCUGCCGUGGCUGUGGCAGGAGGCUGGACGGCGCCCUGAGGAAUGGAUAGAGCGGGCCACGCAGGGUGCGGGGCUCUUGGCUGGAGGGGCACCGCCACCCGAGGCCCGCCACCACACCACUCGGCAGCUCCAGGCAUGGCGCCACCCUGAGAGGCGGGUUCCAUGACAUCAGCAAACACAGCGCCCUCAGGAGGACAGGCUGAGGUUGAGGAGAUGCCGGCAGGGGCCAAGGUCAGCCAAGUGAGGCUCCAGACAGGGACGUGGAGCACCUGAGGACCCCAGAAGGCCUCUUGGAAGAGGUGGACUCAGCCCGGGCUCUUUCCCAAAGCUGACCGCCAGGGCUGUGGCUGCAGGGCCCCAAGUCCAACCCUCAGGCCUGCCACGUCCCAGGGCCCCCCGCCAGGUGCCGCCCCAGCCAGCCCUGUGUAGGAUACAUCUGCUGCAGCAGCCCGCCAGAGCCCCACCUCCUGUCCCCAUCCCCAUGGAAACCACGGGGGCGGGCUGCAUUGGGCCUGCUGGCUGGUUCCCAUUAGAGCGUCCUGCUUUCCUGGAGCCCUGCCCCUGGGUUCAGGGCUGCCCCUGGGGGUUUCUAACCACAUCGACUGAGUACUAGUCUGUGCCAGGGAACCCAGGGUCCAGGGCCCUCCUCACUGGCCAGCCUCCCCCAGAGGAGUCUGAUGGGCUCCAGUCUCCCAUGCCCGGUACUAGAGCAGCCUAGAACUCUGUCCCUCCCGGCUGGUCUUCGGCAGACCAGCAGCUGCUAUGGUCACACUGUUGUGGACUGAGGCCUGGAUCCUGGGCGCCCAUCCCAGCCACAGCAUCCCAGGGGACCUUGGACAACCCCCUUCCUUUUUCUAGGCCUCAGUUUACCCAUCAGGAGAGUGGAACAGUUUCUUGAAAGAAAG
rnacentral:lncRNA from 1 species